UACAGAGGUCUCAAGCGUUGUUCGGAUUCAUUGGGCGUAAAGGGUGCGUAGGCGGCGCGGUAAGUCGGGUGUGAAAUCUCGGAGCUUAACUCCGAAACUGCAUUCGAUACUGCCGUGCUUGAGGACUGGAGAGGAGACUGGAAUUUACGGUGUAGCGGUGAAAUGCGUAGAUAUCGUAAGGAAGACCAGUGGCGAAGGCGGGUCUCUGGACAGUUCCUGGCGCUGAGGCACGAAGGCCCAGGGGAGCAAACGGG
rnacentral:rRNA from 1 species